AUUGAACGCUGGCGGCAUGCCUUACACAUGCAAGUCGAACGGCAGCACGGGAGCUUGCUCCUGGUGGCGAGUGGCGAACGGGUGAGUAAUACAUCGGAACGUGCCCAGUAGUGGGGGAUAGCCCGGCGAAAGCCGGAUUAAUACCGCAUACGACCUACGGGUGAAAGCGGGGGACCGAAAGGCCUCGCGCUAUUGGAGCGGCCGAUGUCUGAUUAGCUUGUUGGUGGGGUAAAAGCCCACCAAGGCGACGAUCAGUAGCUGGUCUGAGAGGACGAUCAGCCACACUGGGACUGAGACACGGCCCAGACUCCUACGGGAGGCAGCAGUGGGGAAUUUUGGCCAAUGGGGGCAACCCUGAUCCAGCAAUGCCGCGUGUGCGAAGGAGGCCUUCGGGUUGUAAAGCACUUUUGUCAGGGAAGAAAUCUUUCAGGCUAAUACCCUUGGAAGGAUGACGGUACCUGAAGAAUAAGCACCGGCUAACUACGUGCCAGCCGCCGCCGUAA
rnacentral:rRNA from 1 species